rnacentral:RNase_P_RNA from 1 species
GCCAGGUAAGGGUGGAAAGGUGAGGUAAGAGCUCACCAGGGACCAGGCGACUGGUCUGCUCUGCAAACCCCACCUGGAGCAAGGCGAAUAGGAGGGAGUAGGUGGCCCGCCGUUUCCCUCGGGUUAUGCCGCUAGAGGUGUCAGGCAACUGACCCCCUAGAUAGAUGGCCAUCCUCGACAGAACUCGGCUUAUAGACUUGCUCACAUG